UGGAUUUUGUAUGUAAACAAUCUGCAAUAUCUUUUUUUUGCUCUUUGUGUGUGGUAUUGUUUUGGUGGGAAUAAGAGCAUUGAAAAGUUGAAAGCUCAAGAGAAUAAAUCGACUUUCGGUGUCGGUCGGUGAUGGAGGUAUUUUUCCCGCGUUUUGCAGUUAGAGACGUCGGUUAAUUAUUCGAUUAUGAUAUAAAAGGAUUUCUAGGAACUCCCUGCGACUUGUUUUAUCGUCGAUAUUGUUCAGCUCAUAUAUUAUAGAGAAAACCCGAAGCUGUAACUGUAAAAAUAACCAUAAGCCACCGAUUAAUUUAUAAUUUACAGUUUACAAUUCUACCGCAAGUGCAUUUAUUGCACAAGUGUGUAUAUGCGUGACCAUUAUAUUUAGUGAACAACUAUACGAUUGUCAAACAUUUGUACUUUACUUUUGCACGUAUGAAUCUAACGACGAGUAUAUCGACGAAUAAUAUAUGAAUCCAUUCAAUCCGGUGACAAAAGGACUAAAAUCAAAUAAGAAUAGUCCGAAAAUGAUAUAGUGCAUUAUUUUUAAUAAAUAUUCCACGCCACUCACAUUAAUUUAUACAUUUCAUUGAACAAUAUUCUAAAAUAGGAAAAAAAGUUACUCCUGUACGCGCGUCGGUGUCUCAGACCGAAGGUGGUGAAAAAGUGAUAUAUCGUACCAACUUAUACGACACGCUAAACAAUGAUGAACAACGAAUGACGAAGCUAGAGAGAAUCGCAAUGUCGUAGUGUUGCUGUUUUCUGAGAAAUGAACGAAUUAUUGAUUUCUUGAUCUCUCAGACCUAUGCGCGAGUAUAGGAGUGUUAACCGUCAUGGUGUUUCGUCGAAAUUCUUCGGAUAUGCUAAAUCAUUUACGGUUGAACCAUAAAAAUGAUUCCCUGGUGGUGGAGGAGACUGGGAAGAAGAAUUCAGGGUCUGCAGGAGUAAAAUGCGGACUUAAAGAAGGUGGUCUCAGCUUCCGUUCUAAA